GCAAGAUGUGACUUUGCUUCUCCUUCCCCUUCUGCCAUGAUUUGUGAUGCCUCCUCAGCCAUGUGGAACUGAGUCAUGGCCGGCUUCAACAUGGGGGGCGACCUCAGGGAGCCUGCCGCCAGCAUUCCCCUGGGCUCCCUGGCAGCUGUUGGCAUCUCGUGGUUUCUGUACAUUGUCUUCGUCUUCCUCCUGGGCGCCAUCUGCACUCGAGAGGCCCUUCGCUAUGACUUCCUGAUAGCGGAAAAGGUAUCCCUCGUGGGCUUCCUGUUCCUUUUGGGCUUAUACAUCUCAUCCCUGGCUUCCUGUAUGGGAGGACUUUAUGGAGCUCCCCGCAUCCUGCAGUGCAUUGCCCAGGAGAAAGUGAUCCCUGCACUUGCCUGUCUGGGACAAGGGAAGGGGCUAAACAAAACACCCGUGGCUGCCAUCUGCCUGACCAGCUUGGUGACCAUGGCCUUUGUUCUUGUGGGUCAAGUGAACGUUCUGGCCCCCAUCGUCACCAUCAACUUCAUGCUGACAUACGUCGCAGUGGACUACUCUUACUUCUCCCUGUCCAUGGGUUCCUGCAGCCUGACCCCGGUGCCUGAGCUGGUGCUCAGGGAGAGCCCGGAAGGCCUCCACUGCUCUGAGCACCUGCUCUUAGAGAAAGCUCCCAACUAUGGCUCUGAGGGACCUGCCCAAAGAGUCUUGGAGGGCACGCUGCCGGAAUUCACCAAGGACAUGGAUCAGCUCCUCCAGCUAACCAGGAAGCUUGAGAGUAGCCACCCCAGGCAAGGAGAGGGUAACAGGACCCCAGAAAGUCAGAAGAGGAAAAGCAAGAAGGCCACCAAGCAGACCCUACAAGAUAGCUUCCUCUUGGACCUCAGAUCCCAUCCUUCUUUUCCUGUCGAGAUCUCUGACAGGUUGCCUGCUGCCUCCUGGGAGGGGCAGGAGUCCUGCUGGAACAAGCAGACUUCCAGGAGCGAAGGGACUCAGCCUGAGGGAACAUAUGGAGAGCAACUUGUUCCUGAGCUGUGCAACCAAUCAGAGUCCAGUGGAGAAGGAGCUUGCGGUCCCCUCAGGAGCAGAUCAUCUUGGCGCCGUCCCUGGCUAAGGUUGACAUGGAGAUGACUCAGCUCACCCAGGAGAAUGCAGACUUCGCCACUCGGGAUCGCUACCACCACUCCUCCCUCAUGAGCCCGGAGCAGCUGAUGCCUCACUACUAGAUGCAGUGCUGGGACCUUCCUCUUUUGGAGCUGUCCCAUGCACAGUGGACCCAAACCCAGAACCUUCGUGGGGCUGCUUCUCCAACCUGAGAAACUCAAGGCCCAUCCUCCCGCUGUCACUUUGGACGAUGGAAAUCUACAUUUUCUUUUCCCUUUUUUUUUUUUUUUUUUUUUUUUGAGACACAGUCUCUUGGCUCACUGCAACCUCUGCUUCCCGAGUUCAAGCAAUUCUCCUGCCUCAGCCUCCUGAGUAGCUGGGAUUACAGGCAUGCACCACCACACCCAGCUAUUUUUUUGUAUUUUUACUGGAGACAGGGUUUCACCAUGUUGGCCAGGCUGGUCUCGAACUCCUGACCUCAUGAUCCACCCGUCUCAGCCUCCCAAAGUACUGGGAUUACAGGCAUGAGCCACCAUGCCUGGCCAGAAAUCUACGUUUUCUUAGAACAUGUGGGAGAAGGAAAAAGACAAAAAAGGAAAUCUGGAUUCUGAGGACCACGUCUCACCCAGGGUGACAUCAGGAAUGGUGCUAGCCUCUGCAACACAACACCCAGUCUGAAGAGCUCUACACAGGUACUAAGACUAGCAGGGGACACCAAGACUCCCAGGUGUGGAGAACUAGAACUGAUCCACAACCAGAUUGCUUGUGCAGAGGGUCACAAUAAGUGUAUGUUUUAUAUUUUAUUGUAUUAUUUAUUUUUGAAUAAAUAAUACACUCACACGGUUCCACACCCAAAAGAUAUAUAGA
rnacentral:sRNA from 1 species